rnacentral:rRNA from 1 species
AAACCGCUUAGGGGUUAAGCCCGAUGAACCCGAAUAUCUGAUGUGAAAAAUUCAAUACUGUGUACAUUUAUUUUCGAAUAGGUGUAUAUUGUAUGCACUUUUUUCAUAGUAAGACAUUGUAAUCCAUUAAUGCUAUAUCUCUUCCAAGAGAUGAUUUAACAAAAGGACAUGGUGUAAAGUUUAUUCUAUCAGUGGUAUUCACGUAUCAUAUGAGUAAAUGCAUUUUGUACCUGUUAAAAUAGUUGAUGGAUUUGAUCUGAAUCAUGCUUGCAAUUUAUUUGCAUUUCGUAUUGUUAGUCUAUAUGAUUGGCAAUAGCAGAAAUGGCAUGUAUUUGAUUAACAAUGCGAUAGAUUUGGGAUACCCUCGGGACCCGUCUUGAAACACGGACCAAGGAGUUCAACAUAUGUGCAAGUCAUUGAGUAUUUUGUUGAAACCUAAUGGCGUAAUUAAAAUAACUAUAUUUUAACUUGGGAUUACAAGUAAUGUUCAAUUAUGCAUUGCUUCUCAAUCCCGGGGCGUUCUAUAUGAACAUGAUGUAAGCAAUUAUGUCCUCUGUUCGAGAGCGUACCUUGAGCACAUAUGCUGUGACCCGAAAGGGGGGAAA